rnacentral:rRNA from 1 species
GACGAACGCUGGCGGCGUGCUUAACACAUGCAAGUCGAACGGUGAAGCGCCUUCCUUUUUGGUGGGUGUGGAUGAGUGGCGAACGGGUGAGUAACACGUGAGUAACCUGCCCCCUUCUUCUGGAUAACCGCAUGAAAGUGUGGCUAAUACGGGAUAUUCUGGGUCUGUCGCAUGAUGGGUCUGGGAAAGAUAUUGUUUCGGUGGGGGAUGGGCUCGCGGCCUAUCAGCUUGUUGGUGGGGUGAUGGCCUACCAAGGCGGUGACGGGUAGCCGGCCUGAGAGGGUGGACGGUCCCACUGGGACUGAGACACGGCCCAGACUCCUACGGGAGGCAGCAGUGAGGAAUAUUGCACGAUGGGCGCAAGCCUGAUGCAGCGACGCCGCGUGAGGGAUGGAGGCCUUCGGGUUGUGAACCUCUUUCGCCAGUGAAGCAGGCCUGCCUCGUUUGUGGGUGGGUUGACGGUAGCUGGAGAAGAAGCGCCGGCUAACUACGUG